GGAGACGCAGUCUCCCUCAUUCU
rnacentral:snRNA from 1 species